CUUGCGGCGGAGUCUGGGAGCACGUGGGCUGGGGACCCGCGGAACCAGGCUAACCCCAGGCUUACCGCUACCGUCGGGCAUCCGAGUCAGACCGGCGGGAGGCGCUGCGGAGCACCUUCCUGGAAGAAUGCUACUCAAGGGGCCGGUGAAUGCAGCUGGGAGCCCAAGCUGGAGGGUCUGGCCCCAAGAUGAAGCAACACGCUCAAGGUCAUACUAGUGGCUGUGCCAAGGUACAGACCUGGGUGUUAUGACUCCAAGAGGGGUGCUCUUUCUGUCACAGCAUUUAUUACCAUCACAGCUAUUCCCACCUCAGGAAUUCUGGGGGCCUGGGCUCGAGGAUGAAUGAGACCUCCCCUCUGCCCUCCAGGAGCUCUAAGAAGGUCGCAGAAUCCCUAGAAUCCAGGGGCUUUUCUGACUUCAGAUUAAGAAGCUAGUAUCGGAUGAGGUGAGAACCUGAACAGAAUCCUGUGAACACCACCAGUGAAGCGGCAGGUGAGGAAAGCGGAGCCCGUGGAGGAGACUGGGAAGGAGCGGUCACACAGAGGGGAAGGACAAGGGGAGAGGGAGCCUCGGAAGAUACCAGCCUUGGACUCUGGAGAACCUUGAUGCGUAUCCUGAUCCCACAUCUGUGUGACCUGGGGCACAUCAUGUAAUCUCUGUAAACCUCAAGUUCCUCGUGCCUAACAGGGAUGACAAGACUCACUUCCCAAUCUUGAGGAUUAUAUGAGAUGCUGUGCAUUUUACAGCAUCUGGCACCAGGUUUGGCACAUAGCAAGAGCUCAGUAAAUCUUAUCUAUUAUGAGUGAGUGUCACAGAAGCCGAGAGAGUGAAGCCAAAGGUGUGGCCAGCCUUGCCGGACGCCACAGGGAGGCCAGGACACAGACAUACAUACAUUCAAAUGCGGGAGCCAGCUUUUCCCUAUGGUUCCCGGCAGGAGGGCAGUGGGCGCGACUUCUUGCCACUGGGUGACACUGCCAAGCCUGCCAACAGAGCACAGCCCUGUCCCAGAAGGCCUAUGCAAAUGUGGUAUAGGGCGUCUCACAUCUCAUUUCCCUAACCCACAGUAGCCAUGCCAGCUAGUGACGCUGGCCCUGGAAUGGUCAGCCUCUCCCCACGGCCAGCUGUGGGCUGCAUUCUUUGUUGAAUCCCUCUCCCUCCAGGAAUGUCCCUGCCUCAAUUAAGCCUGGACCCAGCUCAUCAGUGUGGAGUUGCCAGUCUCCUGCUGGUCACAGCAGCCAGGAGCCAGGGGGAAAGCAUCUGGAAGAAAGCAUCUCCCGCCUGGCUCCCGCGCUGUGCCCCUGAGCCCUUGCAGGGUUCUUUCGCAGCCACUUCCUCCCUCUCUGUGGAGAGAAGCGGUCUGUGCGCCAGGAUGAGAGGUCUGGGAGGAGAGAGGCUGCCCGUGGGCUGGCUUCCUGCAGCCAAGAGUAGGGCAGAUGUGUUCGCUCCUUCUGCUUCCUGCUGGUGCUGCCUUGGGACAGGCCGCCAGCCUUCACGGGGGUCAUGCUAACGGCCACCAGGUCUCCCUGCCUUCAUCUUGCCUUCCUUCAAUUCCCUCGCUUGCCUGUACAGAUCUGAUCCUGACACUCUCAGCAGUGGUUCUCCACCGCCCACUGACAUAGCUUGCCAGGAUAAUUAAGAAUGUAGGUCUGGCUUUUGUUUUUGUUUUCCUUACCCAAAAGGAGUUUAACCCAGUGGAAAAGACAAUGGUGUAUACAAAUAUCUCAGUACGUGGUAUAAUUAUUAUGAUGUCAGAACAAGCAAAAAAAAAAAUAUCUGUUACACUUAUUUACACUAUUUACACAGAAGACAUAUCCCAAAGAUGUUCACAUGCAUAGUGUGAACUAAGUGGGAAGAGAGCAAGGUGACAUACUAAGAGAAUUAUGAGCAAAACGAAGGCAAGCUUGACAAGAAGGCUAUUUACAGAUGUAAAUGCUUCAGAGCUAAUGAGUAACCUGGAUCAACAAACACACGAAGACCUGUUACAUAGAAGCCAUUUCACUUUUUGUACAAAUAUAUGUUCAAUAGUAUUUCAGAUCACCAACAAUUUCCAAAACAAGGAUUUUCAUCGUACAAAAAGAGACCUUUCAGAGCCUCUGGUCCAGUCCCCUCAUAACAAGGCCCAAGAGGUUUGUUUUCUUAUCUACUCUCUUUCCCCUGAGGGACCCAGCCACCACCAUUCUUCCCCAACAACUCAGACUUGAAUCCUCAGUCUCCCCUGACCUUUCCCUUUCACACAUCCCCAAGAACUACACAACUACCAAAUCUGCAGAGUCUGCCCAGAUCCAUCCCACAGGUGUAUCCUCCCCACCUUCCUGCUUUUUGUCAGCCCACCUCUGCUUGCGGAUUGGGCUGCCCAAUGAUUCUGUAGGUCUGUUUUUGAACCCUGACACCCUAACUACAAACUCUGUCCCUGGGAAAGUUCUUUACCCUUUCUAUGUCUCUUUAUCCUCACCCGUAAAAUAAGGGAAACAAGACUAGUUCCUAUGUCUUGGUGCUAUGACAAUUAAAAGUCACACCCAUAAUAUGUUUAACACCAAGUCAGCUCAUUAGUUUCUGCUUAUUGGUCCACAGGAUAAAGUCCAAGCUCCUUGAUGUGACUUUGGCUUACAAGACCUCUGUCCCUUGCUCACCCAGCCUCAUCUCCGGCCAUUGCCACCACAUCCAUGCAGGCUUUUCUCUAACAUUUAUGGGGCCAGGGACAAAAUUAUAAAUGGGUGUCUAUGUACCACAUGUCUAAUUUUUAGAUUCUAAGUAACUGAAAGUUAUAAAUCAAAGUAUCAAGCUGUUAAAUAAAAUAUAUUCUAUACUCCCUUCAAAAAUGGCAUGGAAAGCCAGGCUUGAAUUCUGACUCCUGGCAAUCUGUGCUGAAGCAUGGUAGUGUGAGGAGAGCAGGC